AUUGAACGCUGGCGGCAUGCCUUACACAUGCAAGUCGAACGGUAACAGGUCUUCGGAUGCUGACGAGUGGCGAACGGGUGAGUAAUACAUCGGAACGUGCCUAGUAGUGGGGGAUAACUACUCGAAAGAGUGGCUAAUACCGCAUGAGAUCUACGGAUGAAAGCAGGGGAUCGCAAGACCUUGUGCUACUAGAGCGGCCGAUGGCAGAUUCGGUAGUUGGUGGGAUAGAAACUUACCAAGCCGACGAUCUGUAGCUGGUCUGAGAGGACGAUCAGCGACACUGGGACUGGGACACGGGCCGGACUCCUACGGGAGGCAGCAGUGGGGAAUUUUGGACAAUGGGCGCAAGCAUGAUCCAGCAAUGCCGCGUGCAGGAUGACGGCCUUCGGGUUGUAAACCGCUUUUGUACGGAACGAAAAGCCCUGGGUUAAUACCCUGGGGUCAUGACGGUACCGUAAGAAUAAGCACCGGCUAACUACGUGCCAGCCGCCGCGGUAAAAC
rnacentral:rRNA from 1 species